GUGCAGCAGUCGCGAAUACUUCACAAUGUGCGAAGCACGAUGAGGGAAUCCCAAGUGCUUGCACGUAAGUGUAAGCUGUUUCUCUGUCUAAAACGCAGAGAGAGUAAGGGCUGGGUAAGACGGGUGCCAGCCGCCGCGGUAAUACCUGCAGCUCGAGUGGUGACCGUUAUUAUUGGGCCUAAAACGUCCGUAGCCGGUUUAAUAAAUGCCUGGGUAAAAUCGGACCGCUUAACGGUUCGAAUUCCGGGUAGACUGUUAAACUUGAGACCGGGAGAAGUUAGGGGUACUCCUGGGGUAGAGGUGAAAUUCUGUAAUCCUAGGGGGACCACC
rnacentral:rRNA from 1 species